AUCGUUCAUCUCUCCAAUUAAUCCGACUUUGACAACCGGGAUGGACCUCUUACAGGUGGGAGAGACGGAAGUAAGGAUAAUCCUGAAGGAACGCGCC
rnacentral:ncRNA from 18 species